GCUACUGCGAGUGAAGAGGGAAGAGCUCAUCAUUGGAAUCUGGCAGCGUCUCGCUGUCCGAGUUGUAGAUGAGAAGAGUGGGCCAUCUGGACUGCAUGGUGUCCAAGUACAAUAGGCCGUCAGUGGGACAUCAUAGAGGGUGACAAUCCCGUCCUUGACACCAAUGUACGAGUCCUUUUACGAUGCCUAUCUCGGAGAGUCGAGCAGUUUGGGAUUUGCUGCUUAAACAUGGGAGGUAGAUUCCUUCCAAAGCUAAAUACAGGCAAGAGACCGAUAGAGAACAAGUACCGCAAGGGAAAGAUGAAAUAGAACUCUGUGAAGGGAGUCAAAAGACGUGAAAUUGUUGCGAGAGAAGCGAUUCAAGUCAGCGUAGCUGGGCCCAUCAAGCCUCGCGCUUUGGACCAGCUUUGCCAGCGGUCUUGUCCUAGAGACUCGACUAAGGUGCCCUGCCCGGUCUGACGGGCAGACCUUCCCCCCUGGGGGAGGCCAGCGGCACGGCUGGUGGAAUGGCUUGCAAUCGACCCGUCUUGAAACACGGACCAAGGAGUCUAACAUGCAUGCGAGUAUAAGGGUGGCAAACCCGUAUGCGCAAAGAAAGUGAUAGCCUUUACGGCUGUGAAUGACCUGAUGACCAGACAAGCGAUAUCAUGUCCCUCGUACGGUCAUUGCCCAAGUCCCGUGGUCAGAUCCCAUGGACAUGGAGUUGGAGCGUGCAUGCUAGGACCCGAAAGAUGGUGAACUAUGCCUGGACAAAGCGAAGCCAAAGGAAACUCUGGUGGAGGCUUGUAGCGAUUCUGACGUGCAAAUCGAUCGUCUGAUCUGGGUAUAGGGGCGAAAGACUAAUCGAACCAUCUCAUAGCUGGUUCUGC
rnacentral:rRNA from 1 species